AUUAUAUUAUAGGAAGUCUCGUCUGGUCAAAAAGUGAACUCCUUCAGCUUUUUGAGAUUACGCAUAGGAAGAAAGAUGGAUCUUCUAUGACAUCCGAAGCUGGAGAAAUUAUGGAGAAACUAAAGGAGAAGAAGGCAGAGUAUGAAGCGAUUGCUUCGACUGAUAGUUCUGCUAAUCUUGAGAACAUUGAUAACAGAAUUAUUACUGAAGUUUUGGGUCCUAAAAAGUAUGUUCAGGUUUGAUUUCAAGGAUCUGGUGUUACCCCGACCCAAUAUUUUGGAUCUAGCUCCCAGUAAUACAUGCCUUCCGAGAGUCAAGCUCAAGCUGAAGUUCAGAGGUUAAGAGACCAGAUAGCUCAGAUGCAAGCAAGCACAGUUGAGCAAAUUGCCGAGGUUGAAAGAAAAUAUGAAGAACUCCAGCAACAACUUAGAGCGGAUGUAGUAGGGAGGGAGGCAGAGGCGUGAGUAGAGCAAAGAAGUACGAUGAGCUCCACUCUGACUUGACAUAUGAUGAAGAUGUUUCAGCAGUCGCAAAAGCCGCCAUCUUAGACAUUUGUUUUCUCAUUGUAAGAAUAUUUUUAACAUUGUCACAUUUAACAUUAUUGGAAGAAUAUUUUGAGUUAUACUUCAUUUAUUAAUUUACAUCACAUAUCUUUCAUUGAA